GAUUGCUGUUUGAUUGAGAGCGCUUACACACACACACACACACAAAAAACACAUCGGACGGCAAAGACGAGCUACAAAUGCCUGAGGAUUCAGCUUUAGAGGAUCAACACACAUUUCCUUUAAAAAAUAUAAGUAUUAUAAGGUUUUUCCUCUCUCUCUCUCUUUUUAAGAAAAUGUACUACGUAGAAUUGCUUUUCUUCUUCCCAUCCCCCCCUUCAUAACCUCAAGCAAACUCGAGGAAUCAUGCCAAAAGUCCCGUUGCUAGUUACCAAGUGCAUUUUUUUAAACGUCCCUUUGAUACUUCUUUCCCUCAUGCUUGCUGUGGAAUAUGCAAGUGAGAUAAUCUUUCCAUUACUUAGAAAAGCAAUUAAAAACAACUUUCAGUUGAACUUUCCUUUUUAUUGAGGGGGCAAAAGAAGGGGUGGGGGGGAAGGGAGAAUAUUUUUUCCUCUUCCCAGAACCCAACAUUUGGCUUUUUCCAUUUGUGGCAGAUCACUGUAACUCUAUUGUAAAACAACUUCCUGCCCCUUUUGGCUCAAGUUCCAGAAUCUGCUAGGCUAAGUUCAUAGCACAAACUUUUUUUCUCCUUGCCGAAGAAGCAAGACAAAAAAAUCCUUGCUAAUUAUUUUGCCCUCUUUUUUGCAAAUGGAUUCAUAAGAUGAAUUUAUUGCAGUCCCCUUAACACUGUUACAAAAGAGACGUCCGUAUACCAGCUGGAUAAUUCAUAAAUUUAAAAGAGACUUUUCUCCAGCCUUCUCUGAAAAACUUACUAUCCUGCAAAAUGGAGUAAAGCGAGAGUAACUACUGAAGAGACCAACAAAAGUCAGUUGCAUAAUAGAGCUGGCCGUCAAAAUAAAGAUUUCAAUGAUGAAUGGAGAAUAUCAUACAGAAGAAACAGAUGGACGUGGGUAACAGAACAUAAUAUACAUCUUUCAAAUGUGCUCCCAUCAAUUACACAGCAUGGAGAGGAGCCAAUGUAUGAGGAAAAACGGUGAGAAGACUGUAUGGAGGGGAGCAGUGCCUACACACAAUGCUCCCACUGCUCCACUAUUGCACAGAAGCUCUUUGAGUAAUCUUCACACAGUUGGGUUCCAAUGGAAAUUGAUGGGAUUCAAGGCCAGGCAUGGGACUUGCACUUGUAAAGAGCCUAUAACAGUUUUCCACAGGUGGUGCCCAUGCAUUUCAUGAUACUCCAAUAUUGCUCUAGAUCAGGCCUGCACAACAUGCGGCCCCCGGGCAAGCGGCGGGUGGGGCUGCCGGGUUCGCCCCCUGCCCGGGGGGGUCCGCCUCACAUCCCCGCGCACACGCACCGCGCUCCAACCGCCCUAAUGGCCAGAACCACACGUGUGUCUGUCUCCCGCUCCCCCCGCCUGGUGUACAGCGAGUGCAUCACUUCUGGGGCCCGCUGAGGCGGGACACGCUGGCCACGAGGCAGAGCCGGCAGGAGGAAGGAAUCCAUUUCAGGAGUACACUAAUAGAUGUUCGCAAGCAAUGGACUGACCAUGCCCAAAAGGAGAAAAUGAAAUAACCUACAGUAGUUAGAGCACCAGAACAAGGCAGUCAGCUCGACCACAAACUUACUGUGACACCUUGAACAAAUAUCUUAAACUUUCUCUGCCUUAGUUUCAUCAUCAUUUUCAAUUAUGACAGUACUUCACAUGUGUGGUGUUAAAGUUUGUAAAGGGCUUUGAGUUCCUGGAAUGGAAAGAGUUAUGGAAAUUGCUAACAAUAGAAACGUCAUCAUUAUUACAAACUAUCCCUUCACUGAAUGUGAUUGUUACAGGCUAUAGCUGGCAACAAAUGGGUCUCUUUUCCAGUCAGACUCAGAAUCACAAGCAUUCCUUUUGCACACAUCUAAAGCUCCAAUUAAAUAUGCCAGAAUAUUUCCCCCCACCUUGCCCUAAAUGUGGUUGCACCAUGGAUUCAUUUUACCAGAUGCUCUGGGAGAACAUGCUGAAGAAUAUAUGUUCUGGUGCUCAGCCUCCACGGGGAAAGGAGAGUUCCUUGGGUCUCUAGCACUACACUAAACAUCACAUUAGUUCUCACCUUGUUUGGAGUGGGGAAUAUAUAAAGCAGGCAGGGCAUAUACCAAAAUGUAUAUCGCAUACCAGCCAUCUUCUUUUUAGGGCAAAGAAAAUAUUGCAAAACCCAUUUGCAGAGACUGAAUUCUGGUUAUAAUUGGCUAGGCAGAUGAUACAUAGGGACCAUUUAAAAUAAAAGAUAAAGAUUUUAAGCACCAUAGAACACAGAACUCCUAUACAAAGUCUAAAUCAGUAAACAAGAACAACAUCUCUUCAGUAAAUAGGACAUCAAAUUCAGACCUGGUAUAUAUCAAGGCACCUCCAACACUCCCACUUUCACCAGAUCUACAUUUGGCUCAUGGUGCCUGUCUCCCUUAUGUGGUCAAUUCUCAACUUGGACCUUAAUGAGAGCUAGCACAAGUAUGUAUACAUGGGAAUGGGAAUCAUGCCCCUAGCUCAUACCGUAGACAUACUCUGAAGCAUUUGGUAACUGGUCAAUGACAGAGAUCAGGUAUGGGAUAAAUAAACAAUUGUAGUCUGACCUGCCAUAGCAAUUCCUAUGUUCAAAUCCAAGGUAUUACUAUUAUAUAGAAGUUACUGUUUGGGGCAAUCUUAUUAUGCAUGCUUUGGUUAUUUUUUACAUAGAGUUACCUGGGGCAAAUCGGUGAAGUCAAUUCAUGCCUACAUGAACAUCAAGAAAGUUUUGGACAUCUUCGUUUAUUAGAAGUGAUGACUGGUGUACAAUACAAAGUGCAACUUGUUGCAUCCAACUACUUUGUAUUUGUCCUUAAUAUUUCAAUAAAUAAAUAAUAAAAUAAAUAAAUAAAAGGCAAGCAGGCUCAAAAUGUGA